UAUAAACUUAAAAUAAGUUUGAAGUGUUAACAUUACUAAAACUAGAAAUAAAUUAAAGCUAAAUACUAGAAAGAUUAAAGAAUAAUUAAAAUGACAAAAUUCCAUAACAAAUUUAUUGAAACUGAAACUAUAAAAAGGAAAACAAAUUAAAAAUGUCAAUAAAUACUAUUAAAUCGGUAAUACUAAAAUAACAUUGAUUUACAGCCUGCCAGAUUUGCAGGCUGGUCCAGUUAAUUCUCAUAAUGCACAUGUAUUAUAAGAAACACUAUGUAUGAUGCUGUUGUUAUCAGAUGAUUUCCCUUCAAGUAGACAUGAGCUGUAGUUGUAUGACUGGAAAAAGCUGACAAGACAAGACAAUAUGGCUACCAAGUGAACAGACUCACAUUGGUUUUAGAUCAACAAGUUUAAACCACAUGUUCAGACGGGAGGUUUACAGAACACUUGACAUGACAGAUGGACUGAAUCACGAAAUCGAAUGGGUAUGCUUCUUGAUUACAUUAUAAAACUCCCACCUUUGCAAUGAUAUAAAGUUUAUAAAGAUGUAUAAUGUUUUAACAGUAAAAUAUGCAUAAUAAAUGUAAACAAACAGACCCUAUGCUACUGUGACUCUAGCAGACCUCAGCACUCAAGAGAAUGAUAGAGUUACCUUCAUAUAUCUGUGCCAUUAAUCCAAGAGUUUUAUAUGUUUAGAAAGCUGCCAUAAACACGUUUAUAUGAUUUAACUUGCUCAACUAGAAAUUGUAUACCUGUAUUGUGUUAUGAAUACUUGUGUAGAGCAGGGCUACGGUAUAUUGUGCCGUUAGGGAUUUCAAUAGCUGUGUUUCCAAAGAAACAGAACCGGUUGUACGAGUGUAGAAGUGGUUCUGGUGUUGUUAAAAUCUGAUCUUUCCUACCUGAACCACUCGUCAACAACCUAAUGCAAGAGAUUGCACACUCAGUAUGAGAUGCUUUGGACUUUUAUGCACCAAUACGUUGUGACAGCACAAGUCUUUGAGGUACAUCAGACAUUUGAGGCUCUUUGCAACAAAGUGGGACACACCCCAUCCGUCUGACUGUCCCCACCCCCGCCUCAUCUCGUCCCUCUUCAACACACCUCUCCGGGGAGUUAAUUUGUGUUUGACGCAUGGAAAGAUCAGAGUGUGGAGGGGGGUGAUUGAGGGGCUGGAUGAGAAAAUUCCUGUCUUCCAUUUUGUAGAAAUCUUCCUUCCAACUGUCAACUUCCUACUGGGCUCA
ensembl:lncRNA